GAACCAAUGGGAAACCUCUAGAGGGUAUUUAAACCCCAGAAACUCGUGUAACCCAUGCUCUUGAACCACUUGCUCCAGGCAUCUCCCACCCUGUGGAGUGUACUUUCGUUUAAGUUAAAUCUCUGCUUUUGCUGCCUUGUUUUGUCCAAUUCUUUGUUCAAAAAGCCAAGAACCUGGGCAACUACGCUUAACUGGUAACAUAUGUUGGGGAACCAGCCAGGAGAGACCAUCAAGUUUCAGAUGAUCCUGUGACAAGGUUUCCAGCCUGUUCCAAAUGAAGGCAGCACCCCUGGCCAUCAAGAAACUACCCAGUCUCCACUCGAUAGAUAAAGGCAGGAGUUCGGGGAUCCCCAAUAGGUAGGGACUGCACCUCAAGUCAGGGUGACGCAGUUACAGAAGAAAGACCAUCAGUCACUCUGUCUCCCAUAAAGAUUUCUGGGGAUCAUGUCUCUCGGGGGAAAUGAGGCAGGAGAAUAGGGUCUGGAGGCAGGGAACCUAAGUUCGAUGCAUGCUGACUGGAUAUCAGAGGCUACUCCCUUUCAACCCCUCCUUUUUCUGCAUGGCAGUUGCUGCCUGGCAGUUGGAAAUGAAAGUACCUCGGAUUGGUUCCCUCCCGCAACCAAUCAGACUGGUUGCGGGCCACUACUUUAUGUGCAUAGAGUGAACAGAUGGGAAACCCCUGGAGGGUAUUUAAACCCCAGAAAAUCCUGUAGCCCAGGCUCUUGAGCCUCUUGCUCGAGCCCGCUCCCACCCUGUGGAGUGUACUUUCGUUUAAAAUAAAUCUCUGCUUUUGCUGCCUU
rnacentral:lncRNA from 1 species